CGGCGGCCGUAACUAUAACGGUCCUAAGGUAGCGAAAUUCCUUGUCGGGUAAGUUCCGACCUGCACGAAUGGCGUAAUGAUGGCCAGGCUGUCUCCACCCGAGACUCAGUGAAAUUGAACUCGCUGUGAAGAUGCAGUGUACCCGCGGCAAGACGGAAAGACCCCGUGAACCUUUACUAUAGCUUGACACUGAACAUUGAGCCUUGAUGUGUAGGAUAGGUGGGAGGCUUUGAAGCGUGGACGCCAGUCUGCGUGGAGCCAACCUUGAAAUACCACCCUUUAAUGUUUGAUGUUCUAACGUUGGCCCCUGACCGGGGUUGCGGACAGUGUCUGGUGGGUAGUUUGACUGGGGCGGUCUCCUCCCAAAGCGUAACGGAGGAGCACGAAGGUUAGCUAAUCCUGGUCGGACAUCAGGAGGUUAGUGCAAUGGCAUAAGCUAGCUUGACUGCGAGCGUGACGGCGCGAGCAGGUGCGAAAGCAGGUCAUAGUGAUCCGGUGGUUCUGAAUGGAAGGGCCAUCGCUCAACGGAUAAAAGGUACUCCGGGGAUAACAGGCUGAUACCGCCCAAGAGUUCAUAUCGACGGCGGUGUUUGGCACCUCGAUGUCGGCUCAUCACAUCCUGGGGCUGAAGUAGGUCCCAAGGGUAUGGCUGUUCGCCAUUUAAAGUGGUACGCGAGCUGGGUUUAGAACGUCGUGAGACAGUUCGGUCCCUAUCUGCCGUGGGCGCUGGAGAAUUGAGGGGGGCUGCUCCUAGUACGAGAGGACCGGAGUGGACGCAUCACUGGUGUUCGGGUUGUCAUGCCAAUGGCACUGCCCGGUAGCUAAAUGCGGAAGAGAUAAGUGCUGAAAGCAUCUAAGCACGAAACUUGCCCCGAGAUGAGUUCUCCCUGAGACUAUAAGUCUCCUGAAGGAACGUUAAAGACGAUGACGUUGAUAGGCCGGGUGUGUAAGCGCAGCGAUGCGUUGAGCUAACCGGUACUAAUGAACCGUGAGGCUUAACCUUACAACGCCGAAG
rnacentral:rRNA from 1 species